AUUGAACGCUGGCGGCAGGCUUAACACAUGCAAGUCGAGCGGGGUGAUGGUGCUUGCACUAUCACUUAGCGGCGGACGGGUGAGUAAUGCUUAGGAAUCUGCCUAUUAGUGGGGGACAACAUCUCGAAAGGGAUGCUAAUACCGCAUACGUCCUACGGGAGAAAGCAGGGGAUCACUUGUGACCUUGCGCUAAUAGAUGAGCCUAAGGCGGAUUAGCUAGUUGGUGGGGUAAAGGCCUACCAAGGCGACGAUCUGUAGCGGGUCUGAGAGGGUGAUCCGCCACACUGGGACUGAGACACGGACCAGACUCCUACGGGAGGCAGCAGUGGGGAAUAUUGGACAAUGGGGGGAACCCUGAUCCAGCCAUGCCGCGUGUGUGAAGAAGGCCUUAUGGUUGUAAAGCACUUUAAGCGAGGAGGAGGCUACUCUAGUUAAUACCUAGGGAUAGUGGACGUUACUCGCAGAAUAAGCACCGGCUAACUCUGUGCCAGCAGCCGCGGUAA
rnacentral:rRNA from 1 species